AGUACUUACUUUUUACACGACUGCGCAACGCGACGAGUGUUAUGUGUUCAUCAGUCUAUUUUAUGUGUGUUUGU